rnacentral:rRNA from 1 species
GAUGAACGCUGGCGGCGUGCCUAAUACAUGCAAGUCGAGCGAACAGAUAAGGAGCUUGCUCCUUUGACGUUAGCGGCGGACGGGUGAGUAACACGUGGGUAACCUACCUAUAAGACUGGGAUAACUUCGGGAAACCGGAGCUAAUACCGGAUAAUAUUUCGAACCGCAUGGUUCGAUAGUGAAAGAUGGUUUUGCUAUCACUUAUAGAUGGACCCGCGCCGUAUUAGCUAGUUGGUAAGGUAACGGCUUACCAAGGCGACGAUACGUAGCCGACCUGAGAGGGUGAUCGGCCACACUGGAACUGGGCCACGGUCCAGACUCCUACGGGAGGCAGCAGUAGGGAAUCUUCCGCAAUGGGCGAAAGCCUGACGGAGCAACGCCGCGUGAGUGAUGAAGGUCUUCGGAUCGUAAAACUCUGUUAUUAGGGAAGAACAUACGUGUAAGUAACUGAGCACGUCUUGACGGUACCUAAUCAGAAAGCCACGGCUAACUACGUG